UGGGGAAUAUUGGACAAUGGGCGAAAGCCUGAUCCAGCCAUGCCGCGUGUGUGAAGAAGGUCUUCGGAUUGUAAAGCACUUUAAGUUGGGAGGAAGGGCAGUAAGCGAAUACCUUGCUGUUUUGACGUUACCGACAGAAUAAGCACCGGCUAACUCUGUGCCAGCAGCCGCGGUAAUACAGAGGGUGCAAGCGUUAAUCGGAAUUACUGGGCGUAAAGCGCGCGUAGGUGGUUCGUUAAGUUGAAUGUGAAAGCCCCGGGCUCAACCUGGGAACUGCAUCCAAAACUGGCGAGCUAGAGUAGGGCAGAGGGUGGUGGAAUUACCUGUGUAGCGGUGAGAUGCGUAGAUAUAGGAAGGAACACCAGUGGCGAAGGCGACCACCUGGGCUCAUACUGACACUGAGGUGCGAAAGCGUGGGGAGCAAACAGG
rnacentral:rRNA from 1 species